AAGGCAAGAGUAUGGAUACAUAUACCCAUUUUCGGCAUGGGGGAUACUUACUGGGUUUGCUUUG
rnacentral:tRNA from 1 species